rnacentral:rRNA from 1 species
UCGCAGUCCGAGUUGUAGUCUAUAGAAGCAUGAUCCGCGCCGGACCUUGGCCAUGUCUGUUGGAAAGCAGUGUCAAAGAGGGUGAUAAUCCCGUACAUACCAAGGACGACCGUGUGCAUUGUGGUCUGCUCUCUAAGAGUCGAGUUGUUUGGGAAUGCAGCUCUAAUCGGGUGGUAAAUUCCAUCUAAAGCUAAAUACCGACGAGAGACCGAUAGCGAACAAGUACAGUAAUGGAAAGAUGAAAAGUAGCCUGCAGAGGCAAUGAAACAAUACGUGAAACCGUUUGUAGGGAAACGAUGGAACCUUUUCACGCUGCAGGGGCUCAGCCUGGCUUCGGCUUGGUGUAUUCCCCUGUUUUGCGGGCCAGCAUCAGUUUGCUUUGCGGUAUAAGGGUGAUUGGAAUGUGGCUCCCACGGGAGUGUUAUAGCCUUUCACUGGAUGCCGCGUCGCAGACUGAGGACUGCAGUGCGCCAUUAGGCAUUACCCCCGGGUAACGAGCACUAGGAUGCUGAAA